UAGAGUUGUGCCGAUUUUCGGCCUUAUCAUUCUGUGAUUGUACACUGGACGAUUCAAUGAGAUCGUGACACCACAUUUGUUGUUUGUAGAAUGACUGACACGUGAUUUCAUGUACACUCGUGAAAUCAAACGCGAAUAAAGAACAUAAAUUAAUGAAAGAGAAUCGACAUUGUCAUCUGGCUGUCCCAGUGGGCCGUUUCAGUGAAAAAGAAAGUAUAAAAAAAGACAAUGGGUGAGGUUCUCUGCUUUCAUGCUAUAAUUAUGGUCACCGGGUUUUAGUUAGAAUUGCAUAUAAAUGCGCCAUUCUGAUAGGCAAUCGUGGCAAACAAAUUAGAAGCAGCCAGCUCAAUCAAGUGUCCUAAAUCUCAAACAUGUGUCCCCCUGGCUUCAUGUUUUUUUUCAUGUACCGUUUUGUGUGAUUUAAAUGAAAGUUUUUAUUUAAUAUGUUUCAUAUUUAUGUUUUGAGUUUGCAGACACUACAUGUUGAUUGUGAGCAGUUAAAUGAUUGUAAGGAUAUGAUGCAAGAUAUUUUUUGAACAAAAAAUAAUUGUGACAAGCCUCGAAUAGCAUAUUUUUAAUUGCAACAAGAAUAAAUUGUAUAUAUAACAAUACAUAUUUGUCAACAGCAUAAAAUCAUAAAAGCCAUCUUCAUAUGUUUACUGGCAAAAUACAUAUAUAUAUAUUUUUUUAUGAAAUUUGCAGUUUUGAUGUACAACUAUUGAUUUCUGUGCUACAAUAAAAAAUAUUUUUGAAAAUUGUAAAUAGACAGUUAUGCUUAAUAGGCAGGCAUGCUUAGCCAAUAUAGUAUGUAGUAAUUUCAAAAAGUGAUUAAUGUGACUAUUUAACAUUGAAGUUUUUUAACAUAAGAGGGUAACACUUAACAUUAUGUUACUGAAUUGAUUUUCACAUGUUAAAUUUUCAUAUAUAAUAAUAUUAAAAUAUAUGUCAGUGAUCCUCAAAUCUGGCUUGCAAGAUCCACUUUCCCGCAGAAUUUAGCUCAGCCCUGAGUUUGCUAAUCAAUGUCUUGAGGAUCAUUAGAAAAUUACAAGUAGGAUUGUUUGAUUGUAGGAUUGAAGGUAAACUCUGGAAGGUAAAUUUGAGGAUUAUUGGUCUAUAUAGAGGGGUGAAACUGGGCGGUGCUCAUUCUUCUGUGUUUCUACAGCAGGUAAGUUUGUUCAGAGUUGGUCAUGGUUUUGCAAUUGUUUAUAUAUUUAUUUAUUUAUUUAUUUAUUUAUUUUAUUCUGGAGUAAAUGGGGUUUGAUAAAGUACUCUCAUAGCAUUAACAUGUUUUGUAUCAAAUUGAAAUUAUGUAGCUCAUGUUCACCAUUGUUUGUAGUAACCAUGUGAUUAAAAUGGUAGCUUGUUUGAACUCUUUUACACUAAUUUGAUGAUAACUUCUACUAAUGCUAGUGUAUUGUUUGAUAUGUAAUGUGAUUGUGCAGCUUAUUUGAGGGUAAUUUUAUGGUUAAUGUUAGGAAUUGGUUUCCUUAGGUAAAGUAGUGAUAGGAAUCAAUAACUUUAUACGAACCAAUUAGUUCAUUGUUACCACUCUCCAUUAUAUUUACUUGAAAUUUGUCUCUAGUGAAUUAGUAAAAAUAUUCCUGUAAUUGUAUUUAGCUACUUAUUUUGAUUUAUUUUGUGAAAGUGAAGGGUUUCAUUUGAAUAUAUAUAUACUAAAGAAUACUUUUCUUCUCUUUGUGCCGGUGAAUUGAUAAGAGUUUGAGUUGAGGUAACGCUUAUAAUUCUUGUAUAUGUAAAAUAAAAAAAAUUGAAUUUACUUUUUAAAUUUAUGAAAUUAAGUUCUUAAAAUGCCUAACUUAUCAUUCUCUUAUUUUGCAUGUGCUGAUACACUGGUAAAAGACAGAGUUGAGGUCCGUUAAACUUUUCGAACUUUAUUAAGAUGUAUUUAGAAUGUACUGCUGAAGUAAAUUUUUGAAUGUAUCACAAAGUGUAGCUGACAAGUAUAACUUUUGUCUUUUAUGUGUGGUGGUGCACUGGUUAAAGACUGUGAGCUGAGGUAAGGCAAGUUUUUGUAACUAUUGAAAAAUAACUUGCAAUAUACUGUGAAGUAAAUGUAUAACAAAGCAUGCCUGACUUUAUUUUUUUAUGUGUGGUGGUGCACUGGUUAAAGACUGCGAGCAGAGGUAAGGCAACUUUUGUAACCAUUAAAAACAAUUUAGAUCAUAGUGCUGAAGUAAGUGUUUAAUUGUAUAACAAAGCAUGGCUGACAAGUAUACCUUUUUUUUCUUUAAUGUGUGGUGGUGCACUGGUUAAAGACUGAGUUGUGUGAGUUGAGGUAAGGCAAUGUUUUGUAACCAUUUAAAAAAGAAUUUGGAAUGUACUGUGAAGUAAAUGUAUAACAAAGCAUGGCUGACAAGUAAACCUUUUUUCUUUUAUGCAUGGUCAUGCACUGGUUAAAGACUACAAGCUGAGGUAAGGCAACUUUUGUAACCAUUAAAAACAAUUUAGAACAGUGCUGAAGUAAGUGUUUAAUUGUAUAACAAAGCAUGGCUGGCAAGUAUACCUUUUUUUCAUUUGGGGUGGCACAUUGGUUAAAGACGGAGUUGAGACCGAGUUGAGACCGAGGUGACUGCGGCAGAGAGGCGGCGACUGCGGCAGAGAGUCGGCGGCAGAGAG